GCUGCCGUUUCCAUCGCAGGAGAUCCAGCAACUCCUGGCUUGACUUGCGGCAGUCCCAGUCGUUCAUGUAUUCGGAGGCUGAGAGCAUAGAAGACCUGAAGCAAGCGGCCAAGAGGCUGACUCAGGACCAGCACUUCCGGGAGACCAUCUAUCAGAUCAUGAUAUCGCGCCAGAGCUCCUCCUCAGGCAACAAAAAGUGAACUUUUGCUCCUUCUCUUGGGAGGGAGAGUCCGAACUCAGCUUGCCACCAUUCCACUCGGCCAAAAACCAAAUUGUUGCGAUGAGGAGGCGGAAUUGAGAUGCCCGCUUGCAGUGCGCUCUUUCUGAGGGAAUGAUGGGCGGUGACUAGAACACUCUCCAUUGGUGGAGGUUGUGGUUUGCCACCAUUCCUGAGGGGAGAGGAGCCAUUUUGCCAAGCAUGUUAUGACUUUUCUGCCAGCUGCCCCGUCCCAUCAGCUGAGACUCCCAGUUAGAUGUGCUUUGUCAAUACUCCAUAGUUUGCCUCAAAUCAAAACCACAGCUUACUCUUAAAGAAUGUUUGGCCAAACCUUUCAGACUAGGGGACUAGUUUGACCUGCAAUUACACAAUAGGAGAGUCUUUUUUUCAAUGUGGUGAGAGGAAUGAUAUUCCUAUUCUGCUUCCUUGGGUUUCUGGUUGAAUAUGCAAGUAUGACUAAAACGCUCCUCAGCUUAUGUGCAGGCAGUUCCCCUAAGCAUAGGGUGGCCACUUAGGAGACAGUAUUUAUUCCGCUUUGGCUGCAAAAACUACAUGCUUCUCGUAUACCAUUUUUGUGCUUCCCACUUCCUCAGAGUGGCAGGACGUUUCAAGGGCAGUCUUCCACAGAGUUGGUUCUCAUGCACGGCAAGAGGUCUGAGGACUUAACAGGCUUUUUAUGGGGUUUGUUUACAAAUUCACAAGCAGGCCAGGGUGGCGGCGGCAGAUAGAUAGCGCUACACUUUUGAAGCUCUUUAAAACAAUAGGUUACCUUUGUAGCUUUCCCAAGGCUGCUUCUUGCUAGCCAGCGGCAAAAUUUACGUCGUCUUAUUUAUUGCCCAAAUUCAGGUGGCUCCCUCCCCUCCUGGCUUUCCUCAAUAAGCACACAAUAUUAGCAUCUGAAACACACUCUGCUGUCAGUGAGGCCUGCACAUCCCAGCACCUUGGAGUAGCCACUAGCUAUCAGGCAAGUCAGCCUAGGCAGAUGGUUGUAACGUGACUUUGCCCUUUCAUAAAUCUCUUUUCAUAAUGUUGUGCUGCUAA